AUUUGAUUAACAAAUGAGUGCCGAUCCUAUUGACCAUCCUCUUCGACGAGAGGGAAGCGACGACGAAGAAUCUCUGGAGGAUGGAUCAGCAACUGGAAGAACACCAUCGUCGAAUGAUUCAGGUACAGAUGGACCAAGCGAAAGUCCUAACAUCUCUAAGCAAGGCAACAAAGUUCUCGAUAAGAGCGAUCAAGUGAAAGAUAGCCUGCAUGAAAUGCAACGUGGAAAAUAUGAUAAAACUGGAGUAUUGCAGAAACAUGGAACUGAAGAUCAAAAUAUCCGACAGUCUGAGACUCUGUUAGUGAAGAGUGGUGAAAGUGAGACGCAAUCAGAAAAAAAUCACCAGACUGAAGCUCAGCAAAGAAAAUAUGGUCAGAGCGCAGUGCAGCAAGGAAUAAGAAGCCACGAACCGGC